GACGAACGCUGGCGGCGUGCUUAACACAUGCAAGUCGAACGAAGAGCGAUGGAAGCUUGCUUCUAUCAAUCUUAGUGGCGCACGGGUGAGUAACGCGUAAUCAACCUGCCCUUCAGAGGGGGACAACAGUUGGAAACGACUGCUAAUACCGCAUACGAUCUAAUCUCGGCAUCGAGGAUGGAUGAAAGGUGGCCUCUACAUGUAAGCUAUCACUGAAGGAGGGGAUUGCGUCUGAUUAGCUAGUUGGAGGGGUAACGGCCCACCAAGGCGAUGAUCAGUAGCCGGUCUGAGAGGAUGAACGGCCACAUUGGGACUGAGACACGGCCCAGACUCCUACGGGAGGCAGCAGUGGGGAAUCUUCCGCAAUGGACGAAAGUCUGACGGAGCAACGCCGCGUGAGUGAUGACGGCCUUCGGGUUGUAAAGCUCUGUUAAUCGGGACGAAAGGCCUUCUUGCGAAUAGUGAGAAGGAUUGACGGUACCGGAAUAGAAAGCCACGGCUAACUACGUG
rnacentral:rRNA from 1 species